CCUUAUCAAGAGAGGCAGAGGGAAUGGCCCGAUGACGCCCGGCAACCGCCAGUUCACAAACUGGAAUGGUGCCAAAUCCAACAGAACCACGAUGUUCUGAAAGAUGAGG
rnacentral:ncRNA from 1 species